UACAGAGGUCCCAAGCGUUGUUCGGAUUCACUGGGCGUAAAGGGUGCGUAGGUGGCUGGGUAAGUCUGAUGUGAAAUCUCCGAGCUUAACUCGGAAACUGCAUUGGAUACUGCUCGGCUUGAGGGUUGGAGGGAGGACUGGAAUACUUGGUGUAGCAGUGAAAUGCGUAGAUAUCAAGUGGAACACCAGUGGCGAAGGCGAGUCCUUGGACAACUCCUGACACUGAGGCACGAAAGCUAGGGGAGCAAACAGG
rnacentral:rRNA from 1 species